rnacentral:rRNA from 1 species
AGAUCCCUGAAAGAUGAUCAGGUUGAUAGGUCAGAGGUGGAAGCACGGCGACGUGUGUAGCUGACUGAUACUAAUCGAUCGAGGACUUAACCA